rnacentral:misc_RNA from 1 species
UCCUUCUGGUGGCUGUGGCAG